rnacentral:rRNA from 1 species
UCCCAAGGGUUCGGCUGUUCGCCGAUUAAAGCGGCACGCGAGCUGGGUUCAGAACGUCGUGAGACAGUUUGGUCUCUAUCCUCUGCGCUCGUUGGAAUCCUGAGGAGGCCUGCCCAUAGUACGAGAGGACCUGGGUGGACGAACCUCUGGUAUGCCGGUUGUCGCGCCAGCGGCACGGCCGGUUGGCUACGUUCGGGAGGGAUAACCGCUGAAAGCAUCUAAGCGGGAAGCCUGCUCCAAGAUUAGGAUUCCAUGGAUCUUCGAGAUCCUGUAGCCCGCAUGUUGAACACGUGUUUGAUAGGCCGGAGGUGGAAGCCCCGUGAGGGGUGGAGCCGACCGGUACUAACGGGCGAUGGCGACACAAC